rnacentral:rRNA from 1 species
UACAGAGGGGGCAAGCGUUAUUCGGAUUUAUUGGGCGUAAAGAGCUCGUAGGCGGUUCGGCAAGUCGGAUGUGAAAUCUCCACGCUCAACGUGGAGGGGCCACUCGAUACUGCCAUGACUCGAGUCCGGUAGAGGAGUGUGGGAUUCCCGGUGUAGCGGUGAAAUGCGCAGAUAUCGGGGAGGAACACCCUGAGCGAAGGCGGAUCUCUGGGCC